UACGUAGGGUGCAAGCGUUGUCCGGAAUUAUUGGGCGUAAAGAGCUCGUAGGCGGUUUGUCGCGUCUGCUGUGAAAUCCGGAGGCUCAACCUCCGGCCUGCAGUGGGUACGGGCAGACUAGAGUGCGGUAGGGGAGAUUGGAAUUCCUGGUGUAGCGGUGGAAUGCGCAGAUAUCAGGGGGAACACCGAUGGCGAAGGCAGAUCUCUGGGCCGUAACUGACGCUGAGGAGCGAAAGCAUGGGGAGCGAACAGG
rnacentral:rRNA from 1 species